CGGUUUGUCGCGUCUGCCGUGAAGGUCCGGGGCUUAACCCCGGAUCUGCGGUGGGUACGGGCAGGCUAGAGUGCAGUAGGGGAGACUGGAAUUCCUGGUGUAGCGGUGAAAUGCGCAGAUAUCAGGAGGAACACCGAUGGCGAAGGCAGGUCUCUGGGCUGUAACUGACGCUGAGGAGCGAAAGCAUGGGUAGCGAACAGGAUUAGAUACCCUGGUAGUCCAUGCCGUAAACGUUGGGCACUAGGUGUGGGGGACAUUCCACGUUUUCCGCGCCGUAGCUAACGCAUUAAGUGCCCCGCCUGGGGAGUACGGCCGCAAGGCUAAAACUCAAAGGAAUUGACGGGGGCCCGCACAAGCGGCGGAGCAUGCGGAUUAAUUCGAUGCAACGCGAAGAACCUUACCAAGACUUGACAUGGACUAGAUCGCACUAGAGAUAGUGUUUCCCUUCGGGGCUGGUUCACAGGUGGUGCAUGGUUGUCGUCAGCUCGUGUCGUGAGAUGUUGGGUUAAGUCCCGCAACGAGCGCAACCCUCGUUCUAUGUUGCCAGCACGUUAUGGUGGGGACUCAUAGGAGACUGCCGGGGUCAACUCGGAGGAAGGUGGGGACGACGUCAAAUCAUCAUGCCCCUUAUGUCUUGGGCUUCACGCAUGCUACAAUGGCCGGUACAAAGGGUUGCGAUACUGUGAGGUGGAGC
rnacentral:rRNA from 1 species